AAGGACCCCAGGGCUGGGACCCCGGCCUGGCCCUCCUCUGGGCGGCCUCGGGAAUUUAGAUUCGAAAAGAGCUUCCGGAGG
ensembl:misc_RNA